AUUGAACGCUGGCGGAAUGCUUUACACAUGCAAGUCGAACGGCAGCACGGACUUCGGUCUGGUGGCGAGUGGCGAACGGGUGAGUAACAUAUCGGAACGUAUCCAAUAAUGGGGGAUAACUAUUCGAAAGGUUGGCUAAUACCGCAUACGCCCUACGGGGGAAAGCAGGGGAUCUUCGGACCUUGCGUUAAUGGAGCGGCUGAUAUCUGAUUAGCUAGUUGGUGAGGUAAAGGCUCACCAAGGCGACGAUCAGUAGCUGGUCUGAGAGGACGACCAGCCACACUGGAACUGAGACACGGUCCAGACUCCUACGGGAGGCAGCAGUGGGGAAUUUUGGACAAUGGGCGCAAGCCUGAUCCAGCCAUUCCGGGUGAGUGAAGAAGGCCUUCGGAUUGUAAAGCUCUUUCGCAAGGGAAGAAAACUUACUUUCUAAUAAAGAGUGAGGUUGACGGUACCUUGAUAAGAAGCACCGGCUAACUACGUGCCAGCAGCCGCCGUAA
rnacentral:rRNA from 1 species